rnacentral:rRNA from 1 species
UACGUAGGGGGCAAGCGUUGUCCGGAUUUAUUGGGCGUAAAGAGCGUGUAGGCGGCCAGACAGGUCCGUUGUGAAAACUCGAGGCUCAACCUCGAGACGCCGAUGGAACCGUCUGGCUAGAGUCCGGAAGAGGAGAGUGGAAUUCCUGGUGUAGCGGUGAAAUGGCGCAGAUAUCAGGAAGAACGACCCGUGGCUAAGGCGGCUCUCUAGUACGGUACUGACGCUGAGACGCGAAAGCGUGGGGAGCGAACAGG